UGGGGAAUAUUGCACAAUGGGCGCAAGCCUGAUGCAGCCAUGCCGCGUGUAUGAAGAAGGCCUUCGGGUUGUAAAGUACUUUCAGUCGGGAGGAAGGUGGUAAGGUUAAUAACCUUAUCAAUUGACGUUACCGACAGAAGGAGCACCGGCUAACUCCGUGCCAGCAGCCGCGGUAAUACGGAGGGUGCAAGCGUUAAUCGGAAUUACUGGGCGUAAAGCGCACGCAGGCGGUCUGUCAAGUCGGAUGUGAAAUCCCCGGGCUCAACCUGGGAACUGCAUUCGAAACUGGCAGGCUAGAGUCUUGUAGAGGGGGGUAGAAUUCCAGGUGUAGCGGUGAAAUGCGUAGAGAUCUGGAGGAAUACCGGUGGCGAAGGCGGCCCCCUGGACAAAGACUGACGCUCAGGUGCGAAAGCGUGGGGAGCAAACAGG
rnacentral:rRNA from 1 species